GCGGGCGUAAUUCAGUUGGUAGAAUGCCAGGUUGCCAAUCUGGUCGUCGUGGGUUCGAAUCCCAUCGCCCGCU
rnacentral:tRNA from 1 species